GUGGGGAAUAUUGCACAAUGGGGGAAACCCUGAUGCAGCAACGCCGCGUGAGUGAUGAAGGCCUUCGGGUUGUAAAGCUCUGUCUUUGGGGACGAUAAUGACGGUACCCAAGGAGGAAGCCACGGCUAACUACGUGCCAGCAGCCGCGGUAAUACGUAGGUGGCAAGCGUUGUCCGGAUUUACUGGUCGUAAAGGGUGCGUAGGUGGAUAUUUAAGUGGGAUGUGUAAUCCCCGGGCUUAACCUGGGGGGUGCAUUCCAAACUGGAUGACUAGAGUGCAGAAGAGGAGAGUGGAAUUCCUAGUGUAGCGGUGAAAUGCGUAGAGAUUAGGAAGAACACCAGUGGCGAAGGCGACUCUCUGGUCUGUAACUGACACUGAGGCUCGAAAGCGUGGGGAGCAAACAGGAUUAGAAACCCUAGUAGUCC
rnacentral:rRNA from 1 species